rnacentral:rRNA from 1 species
GACGAACGCUGGCGGCGUGCUUAACACAUGCAAGUCGAACGGAAAGGCCCUGCUCGCAGGGUACUCGAGUGGCGAACGGGCGAGUAAGUCGUGGGUGAACUGCCCUGCACUUCGGGAUAAGCCUGGGAAACUGGGCCUAAUACCGGAUAUGACCUUCCAUGUAGUGUGGGGGUGGAAAGAUUUAUCGGUGUGGGAUGAGCCCGAGGCCUAUCAGCUUGUUGGUGGGGUAAUGGCCUACCAAGGCGGCGACGGGUAGCCGGCCUGAGAGGGUGGACGGCCACAUUGGGACUGCGGUACGGCGCAGUCUCCUACGGGAGGCAGCAGGGGGGAAUAUUGCACAGUGGGCGGAAGCCUUAUACGGCGGCGCCGCGUGGGGGAUGACGGCCUUCGGGUUGUAAACCUCUUUCGACAGGGACGAAGCUUCGGUGACGGUACCUGUAUAAGAAGCACCGGCUAACUACGUG